rnacentral:piRNA from 1 species
UCCGAAAGCUGGGUCCUCUGGGGCACGU